GACGAACGCUGGCGGCGUGCUUAACACAUGCAAGUCGAACGGAAAGGCCCUGCUUUUGUGGGGUGCUCGAGUGGCGAACGGGUGAGUAACACGUGAGUAACCUGCCCUUGACUUUGGGAUAACUUCAGGAAACUGGGGCUAAUACCGGAUAGGAGCUCCUGCUGCAUGGUGGGGGUUGGAAAGUUUCGGCGGUUGGGGAUGGACUCGCGGCUUAUCAGCUUGUUGGUGGGGUAGUGGCUUACCAAGGCUUUGACGGGUAGCCGGCCUGAGCGGGUGACCGGCUACAUUGGGAUUGAGAUGCGGCACAGACUCCUACGGGAGGCAGCAGUGGGGAAGAUUGCACAAUGGGCGGAAGCCUGAUGCAGCAACGCCGCGUGCGGGAUGACGUGCUUCGGGUUGUAAACCGCUUUCGCCUGUGACGAAGCGUGUGUGACGGUAAUGGGUAAAGAAGCACCGGCUAACUACGUG
rnacentral:rRNA from 1 species